GAUGAACGCUGGCGGCGUGCUUAACACAUGCAAGUCGAACGAUUGAAGCUGGAGCUUGCUCCGGCCGAUUUAGUGGCGGACGGGUGAGUAACGCGUGGGUAACCUGCCUCAUACAGGGGGAUAGCAGUUGGAAACGACUGGUAAAACCGCAUAAGCGCACGGUGUCGCAUGACACAGUGUGAAAACACUCCGGUGGUAUGAGAUGGACCCGCGUCUGAUUAGCUAGUUGGUGAGGUAACGGCCCACCAAGGCGACGAUCAGUAGCCGGCCUGAGAGGGUGAACGGCCACAUUGGGACUGAGACACGGCCCAAACUCCUACGGGAGGCAGCAGUGGGGAAUAUUGCACAAUGGGGGAAACCCUGAUGCAGCGACGCCGCGUGAGUGAUGAAGUGUUUCGGUAUGUAAAGCUCUAUCAGCAGGGAAGAUAAUGACGGUACCUGACUAAGAAGCACCGGCUAA
rnacentral:rRNA from 1 species